GGGUCUCUAGCUCAGUGGUAGAGCAGCUGGCUGCAGAUAAUCAGGUCUCCUGGUUCCAAUCCCGAGGGGCCCU
rnacentral:tRNA from 1 species